AUAAAAAGUCCUUCAGGGUGGGGAAUCCAUCCAAACAGGGGAUGAGUUUUGUUUAAAAUAGUUGAGGUUUGUGUCGAUGCUUGGAUUAGCUGGGGAGAGUUGUGUAGAGUCUUCAAACGUGAUGUUGUAUAAUCUUCUGUGUGCGCACACUCUUUUUCCUGUAGGUUAGUAGACAACACUCACCCAUUUGCUGAUCCAGGCCUGAGACCAGAUCCAGUAGGCCUCAAGCCUCAGUCCUCUGGUUAGACCCUGUUUGUUGAGAAAACCUGUCUGAAGUUAGUCUCUCUCAGAGGAUUAAAGGAAAGAAGGUCCCAACGUUUCGCCUGGAAGGCUUCUUCAGGGGAGCAAGAAGAGAGUGAAGGAUCCAGGCCUCUAUAUUCAUAUAGAUCAAGUCCAUGAGGGUGGAUCCUAGAAAUAAAAGGUUCCAUAUUGGCUCAUGGAGAAAAAGCAGAUUGAUAAAUGGUCCGGAGCUGGUUCAGUGAGAGGAGAGUACAAGUUUUGAAAGGAUAUGAAGGUAAGUAAAGGGAGGGGACAAGGAGGGGUGAGGAAAACACAGCCUAUUAGGACAGGGAGUAUUAUUUGUGAAAAUGUUGAAUUUUUAUAUAUCCCUGAUAUUUUUUUUUCAAUCACAUCAAUAGGUUGUGUUAGGGAUCCUCAA